AGGGAACCUGAAGAAUACAUCUUUCAAGUACAAGAGAGUCUAAAUAUUUUCCCUGGAGGAUACAGAUUUCUGAGUGUACAUGAGAUAGGAACUAUAGUUAUAUGCAAGAGAUCUCAUGCCAGAAGCGAACAGGACAAAGUGGAGACAAUCUGACAUGAUCAAUAACAGGUUUUCUGGCCCCUGAGCUGCUGCGUGGAGCCCAGCCAGAAAGUCUGGAAAUAGAUGACCAGCACCACAGUACCUUGGUAAAGGUCAGAAUCCUAAGGGAGAUGUGUGGAAUGGAAACUGACUCUCAAUAAAAUUAUUGUUAUCAGUCAGAGAUCAA